rnacentral:rRNA from 1 species
AUGAACAACCUGAACAUGUUCCUCAAACGAGAGGGGAGACAAACGAGCAAAAGGAGGUCCCUGAAGAAGGGCAACAUGAUCUUCAAACGACAGACGUCAACAUCAAAGAAGACCAAGCCCCAAAAUAUUCACUCACCGAAAAACACGCAGCAGAGACGGCAGCAACGACAACGACUGAAAAGCUCAACGAAGAACAACCGCAAUAGUCAGCAGCAGCAACGAGAACAGAAACAGAGACAACAGAAGCAUCAACGACUGAGGAGGUCAGUGCCAUCCAAGUCGAGACUGAAAAAAAGACGGAAAAGACAGCCAGCAAGACAUAACGGUUGA